rnacentral:rRNA from 1 species
GGGGAUGGUCAUUCAAAUUUCUGCCUAUCAACUUUCGAUGUUAGAGUAGUGGUCUAACAUGGUUUCAACGGGUAACGGGGAAUUAGGGUUCUAUUCCGGAAAGGGAGCUGAGAAACGGUACCACAUCCAAGGAAGGCAGCAGGCGCGCAAAUUACCCAAUCCCGACACGGGGAGGUAGUGACAAUAAAUACUGAUACAGGGGCUCUUUUGGGUCUUGUAAUUGGAAUGAGUACAAUUUAAAUCCCUUAACGAGGAACAAUUGGAGGGCAAGUCUGGUGCAGCAGCCGCGGGUAAUUCCAGCUCCAAUAGCGUAUAUUAAAGUUGUUGCAGUUAAAAAGCUCGUAGUUGA